AAGCAAGAAGCGAUAAAUCGCAACCAACUUCGACCUGGUUAAAUAGGUAGAUAUUCCUACCCUUACUUA
rnacentral:tRNA from 1 species